GAUGGCACUCUUAUGGGGCCUAAAGCGUCGUAGCCGGCCUCGCAAGUCCGUCGGGAAAUCCAUACGCUCAACGUAUGGGCGUCCGGCGGAAACUGCCAGGCUUGGGACCGGAAGGCUCGAGGGGUACGUCCGGGGUAGGAGUGAAAUCCUAUAAUCCCGAACGGACCACCGAUGGCGAAAGCACCUCGAGAAAACGGAUCCGACGAUGAGGGACGAAAGCCAGGAUCUCGAACC
rnacentral:rRNA from 1 species